UACUGAUAUCAGAUUUUGAUUAACCAGAGUGAUGUUUUUGAUGAUAUUUAGAAAGCCAUCCUAAGAGUACAUUAGGAUUUAUACAACAGAAAGUGGUGGUCAUGCGCCUCCCCACGCGGCAGGGCUCGGAGAUUGUGGUGGUCUACGUGCGACACCCAUGGCUACCUCCACGCUUCUCUACUCCCAUGGCAAUGCUGCCGACUCGGACAGAAGUACGAGCUCUUCAUCGAGCUCAACAUUCAUAUGUGCGUCAAUCUCCUUGGGUAUGACUACUCUGGAUAUGGGCAGUCGACUGGGACACCCAGUGAGCAUAAUACAAAUGCGGUUAUUGAAGCUGCUUUCAAGUGUUUGGA